GGACCUGUCCUAUAAUGAGUUGCAGUUUUUGCCUCGAGGGAUAGUUAACAAUACCGUUAACCUGACAGAACUUUUCCUGAACAACAACAACAUAAAGAACUUUUCCUCUGAUCAACUACCUAAAACUUAUUGGUGGGAAUAUAAAUUUAAAAACCUAACCCUAGACUUCAACAAACUGGAGACACUUCCUUCUGACACAUUCAAACGCUUCAAGUUAAAUGAUCUGUGGCUUGGAAACAACAACUUAAAAAACUUAUCUGAAGAUCUAUUCACUGGGCAAGAUGAGUUAAAAUAUUUGCGGUUGAGUGGCAAUCGGCUGGAGAAGCUGCCUCCAAAAAUUCUUCAAGGAUUGUUCGCCUUGGAGGAACUG